AAUAUCUCUUGUAGCCGUUG
rnacentral:snRNA from 1 species